CAGAGAAAUUUUCAAGAAGACUUACACUCUUGGUAAUGUCAAGGACAUUACAGAGGCGUGUACAUCUGCACUGUCGUGCAAAGCAGAAAUGACCAGAAUUCUGAAGUUCUGCUCAGAUUUUAAUAAAUACAUUGACACUAAUGUGAACUGCAUUGUUGAAAACAUGUAUACAUUCCAAAUUCUAUUCAAGUCCAUUCAAUCAGAUGUUUGUGAUGUCAGUGCCACUGCUGUCACCACACAGGAAAUGGAAGUACAGCAGGUAUGUUUGUUCAUUUGUUCAUGUCUGUUAAUUUAAGGAAGGUCACUACACAUAAUAUUCUGUUUAGUGAGCCUGUGUGCCUUUUAUGUGUAGUAUUAUUAUCCCAGUGCUUAGAUUAAGUGGUAAUCUCUCUACAGCAGUAUACUGGUUAAAAUAAAAUACUGUAUAUAUGGACUGUUCCUUCAGAUUUCAACAGCAGCCAGUGAUCUUGAUCCUGAGAGUGUGAAGACUCACCUCCAACAAAAAGAUCCCAGGAUUUUUGCAUUCUACGAGGAGAAUGGGACCCUUAAAAAUGGAGAAGGGUACUGGGAACAACUGCCGUCAGUUUCCUUGUUGAAAAAAUGGGAUUUUAUCCAGUAAGUGCGGACAAAAAACUCCUCACCAGAACCAUUGUGACACUUUACCCAUCACUUAACAACAAGAUGGAGGACGAAAAUGAAGGAUAUGAUGAAGCCUGGUCCUGAGAACCUUUCUUCGAUCAAGAUGGGUAUGGACAACCUACUUCCACCGAAGAUGCUCACACAUUAUCAGCCCCCUACUGUGUCAGGAAGAUCUAAGCGAUGGACAAAAUGCAGCAUCAAAUCAGCGCUGUCCUACAUGUUGGACAUUACACAACCAGGAACAAGCUUCCAUGAUCUCCUACAAACCACUGACCCUGCUCCAGGGAUGCAACCUCGUCUGGUGAGCAUUGGACAUCCCAGCACAACAUCACCACAAUAUGUCAUCGUGGCUGCCAAUGACUACGUAGUCAUUCCACUCCAGGAAGAGGGCCUCACCUGCAGUAUGGACAAACUCUUCAAGUUGUAUUGGGUUUGUAACCUUGCCUGUUUGGUAAAGUAUAAGUUGUUGAUUGAAAAAAUGGCAGCCUGUGGACAUGAUUUAAACAUUUUGAGUAUGAUAAGUAUGGCCAGUUGUGUGUGUAUAUUUGGUUAUUGCUACAGACCUGGUUGUGUGGUUUCCUUAAAAUGUGAUUUGGACAACGAACAUAUCUUUGGAGAGACAGUGUAUAUUGUUCCCUUUUUUGACCGUGAUGAGGUGUUCAUUUUGUUGAGAGUUCUCACUGUUAAGUAUUUUGAUGACCACCUUCCCACUUAUGUGAUUAAAAAGACAAAUUAAUUUCAAGUGAUUAAUCUGAAAGAUGCAACUGAUGCUUUGCCACUUGAUGUAUAUGAGCUGAGAUAUUCUGAAUUGCACUUACUGACA